rnacentral:rRNA from 1 species
UACGGGGGGGGCAAGCGUUGUUCGGAAUUACUGGGCGUAAAGGGCUCGUAGGCGGCCCUCUCAGUCGGAUGUGAAAUCCCCAGGCUUAACCUGGGAACGGCAUCCGAUACUGGAGGGCUUGAAUUCGGGAGAGGGAUGCGGAAUUCCAGGUGUAGCGGUGAAAUGCGUAGAUAUCAGGAGGAACACCAAUUGCGAAGGCAGCUCGCUGGGACGUUACUGACGCUGAGACGCGAAAGCGUGGGGAGCAAACAGG